rnacentral:rRNA from 1 species
AUUGAACGCUGGCGGCAGGCCUAACACAUGCAAGUCGAGCGAGCGGCGGACGGGUGAGUAAUGUAUGGGGACUGCCCGUUAGAGGGGGAUAAAUACUGGAAAAGGUGGCUAAAACCGCACACAGUCGGAUACCGCAUAUGGGAUUAGCUAGUAGGUAAGGUAAUGGCUUACCUAGGCGCCGAUCCCUAGCUGGUCUGAGAGGAUGAUCAGCCACACUGGGACUGAGACACGGCCCAGACUCCUACGGAGGCAGCAGUGGGGAAUAUUGCACAAUGGGCGCAAGCCUGAUGCAGCCAUGCCGCGUGUGUGAAGAAGGCCUUAGGGUUGUAAAGUACUUUCAGUCGGGAGGCGUUACCGACAGAAGAAGCACCGGCUAACUCCGUGCCAGCAGCCGCGGUAAUAC